rnacentral:rRNA from 1 species
CCUACGGGUGGCUGCAGUGGGGAAUAUUGGACAAUGGGCGAAAGCCUGAUCCAGCCAUGCCGCGUGUGUGAAGAAGGCCUUCGGGUUGUAAAGCACUUUCAGUGGGGAAGAAAGCCUUGGGGCUAAUACCCUCGAGGAAGGACAUCACCCACAGAAGAAGCACCGGCUAACUCCGUGCCAGCAGCCGCGGUAAUACGGAGGGUGCGAGCGUUAAUCGGAAUUACUGGGCGUAAAGCGCGCGUAGGCGGUCUGAUAAGCCGGUUGUGAAAGCCCCGGGCUCAACCUGGGAACGGCAUCCGGAACUGUCAGGCUAGAGUGCAGGAGAGGAAGGGAGAAUUCCCGGUGUAGCGGUGAAAUGCGUAGAGGUCGGGAGGAAUACCAGUGGCGAAGGCGGCCUUCUGGACUUACACUGACGCUGAGGUGCGAAAGCGUGGGUAGCAAACAGGAUUAGAGACCCGGGUAGUC